UCGUACAAAAUGUGAGGGGCAUGCGAGGGCUGUCGCUGACCCAAAAGUCGUGCACGCCCGAGUGUGUCCUCUUGCAUAAUAAUCCAUCUCACCCUUUGUGCAUCACCGCGUGGGCACCCUUCGGGAUCAUCUCGGAGGGGGGCUCGCGUUUUCACACAAACCCCCCUUUUAAAAGUGUAGAAUGACCACAUUUAUGCAAUCAAUAC
rnacentral:misc_RNA from 1 species